AACGCAUAUGGCACCCGAGACUUCGGUCGAGGGUAUGUCUGUCUCAGAGUCGACGUAAAAACAUCCCCAAGGAAAGACCAACGCGUCUAUCCUUCGGGGGAGCUGGCCCCCCCGGGAGCCGGGUUUCGGCCCAAGCCCCCGGGUCGGCUGAAGGUAAGAGACGGGGGACCGCAUGCGCCGGGCAGCCACGAUUUUGGUGGGAGGACCUCGUGUCCGCAUCACAGAUCGUGCGUCCAACCUUAGCGUGCGGCCGUUUGGACCCCGCCAUUGCAGGAAACAACAAAAUAUGUUUUCGACCUGAGAUCAGGCAAGAUCACCCGCUGAACUUAA
rnacentral:misc_RNA from 1 species